AGCUUUUCGAAUUUGUGAUGAGAUUUUGUCAGACACCAACCCAUUAGGGUCGAUCAGACUUCGAAGAUAAGUGAAGUU
rfam:Schistosoma haematobium scaffold52_17, whole genome shotgun sequence.